CUACGGGAGGCAGCAGUGGGGAAUAUUGGACAAUGGGCGCAAGCCUGAUCCAGCCAUGCCGCGUGAGUGAUGAAGGCCUUAGGGUUGUAAAGCUCUUUUAGCAGGGACGAUAAUGACGGUACCUGCAGAAAAAGCCCCGGCCAACUUCGUGCCAGCAGCCGCGGUAAUACGAAGGGGGCUAGCGUUGCUCGGAAUCACUGGGCGUAAAGCGCACGUAGGUGGGUCGUUAAGUCGGGGGUGAAAUCCCAGGGCUCAACUCUGGAACUGCCUUCGAUACUGGCGACCUUCGAGUUCGGGAGAGGUGAGUGGAACUGCGUGUGUAGAGGUGGAAUUCGUAGAUAUUCACAAGAAAACCAGUGGCGAAGGAGGCUCACUGGCACAAUACUGACACUGAGGUGCGAAAGCGUGGGGAGCAAACAGGAUUAGAAACCCUGGUAGUCC
rnacentral:rRNA from 1 species